rnacentral:rRNA from 1 species
UACGUAGGGUGCAAGCGUUAAUCGGAAUUACUGGGCGUAAAGCGUGCGCAGGCGGUUCGUUGUGUCGGCGGUGAAAGCCCCGGGCUUAACCUGGGAAUGGCCGUUGAAACUGGCGAACUGGAGUGUGGCAGAGGGGGGUGGAAUUCCGCGUGUAGCAGUGAAAUGCGUAGAGAUGCGGAGGAACACCGAUGGCGAAGGCAGCCCCCUGGGCUGACACUGACGCUCAGGCACGAAAGCGUGGGGAGCGAACAGG